GAAAUGCGAUACGUAAUGUGAAUUGCAGAAUUCCGUGAAUCAUCGAAUCUUUGAACGCACAUUGCACUCUAUUUCGGUAGAGUAUGCCUGUUUGAGAAUCUAAAGUAUUUAUUUUUGGUAAUUAUUUUCAUAAUGAAUGCCAAAAGAUAUGAAGCUUCUACCGCAAGGUAGUGCUUUUAAAUAGAUUACUGGAUGGCGGUUUAAAUGUUUGACAUCUAAACAAAGUCUGCCCAAAUGUAUAUGAAUGAACCUAUAGGUUUCUCAUUUUUCAAAGUAAGCGACAGUUUUGAUUAGUUUUUACCACUGUUCAAGUCCAUAACCUUAAAAUUUACGGCGGCAACAAAGUAAAUUUGAACCAUGGUCUCAAAUCAGGUAGGAUUACCCGCUGAACUUAA
rnacentral:misc_RNA from 1 species